rnacentral:rRNA from 1 species
UUGGAGGGCAAGUCUGGUGCCAGCAGCCGCGGUAAUUCCAGCUCCAAUAGCGUAUAUUAAAGUUGUUGCAGUUAAAAAGCUCGUAGUUGAAUUUCGGGGUCAGUAGGUUGGUCAUGCCACUGGUAUGUACUGGUCUCACUGAUUCCUCCUUCCUGAUGAACUGUAAUGCCAUUAAUUUGGUGUUGCAGGGAAUCUGGACUGUUACUUUGAAAAAAUUAGAGUGUUUAAAGCAGGCUAACGCCUGAAUACGUUAGCGUGGAAUAAUGAAAUAGGACGUUCGAUCCUAUUUUGUUGGUUUCUAAGAUUGACGUAAUGAUUAAUAGGGAUAGUUGGGGGCAUUAGUAUUCAAUUGUCAGAGGUGAAAUUCUUGGAUUUAUUGAAGACUAACUAUUGCGAAAGCAUUUGCCAAGGAUGUUUUCAUUAAUCAAGAACGAAAGUUAGGGGAUCGAAGACGAUCAGAUACCGUCGUAGUCUUAACCAUAAACUAUGCCGACUAGGGAUCGGAUGAUGUUAAUUUUUUAAUGACUCAUUCGGCGCCUUACGGGAAACCAAAGUGUUUGGGUUC